UAAAGCUACUAAGAGCUAAUGGAGAAUGCCUUGGUACUGACAGCCGAUGAAGGACGUGUAAAGCUGCGAUAAGCUUCGGGGAGUUGCUAAAAGACCUUGAUCCGAAGAAUUCCGAAUGGGGAAACCCUGCAAGGUUAAAACCUUGUAAUCCAUAGAUGAAUACAUAGUCUAUGAGAAGGAAAGCCUGUGAACUGAAACAUCUUAGUAACAGGACGAAAAGAAAAUAACCAAAUGAUUCCGAAAGUAGCGGCGAGCGAAAUUGGAAGAGCCUAAACAAUAUGUACGUGAUAGACUGCAAUCGUUGUGCAUAUUGGGUUGUGGGACUUACGGUAUAAUUUGCAGAUUAUACAAAGAGUUACAAAAUUAUUUAUUAGCUAAAUACAACUGGGAAGUUGAGCCAUAGCGGGUGAUAGCCCCUUAAGCGACAAUAAAUAAUCUCUUGUAAGUAUCCCGAGUAAGGCGGGGCACGUGAAACCCUGUCUGAAUCCACCGGGACCAUCCGGUAAGGCUAAAUACUAGUCAGUGACCGAUAGUGAACGAGUACAGUGAUGGAAAGGCGAAAAGAACAGUGAGAAGCUGAGUGAAAUAGACCCUGAAACCGUUAGCUUACAAUCAGUCAGAGCACUAUUAAUAGUGUGAUGGCGUGCCUGUUGAAGAAUGAGCCGGCGAGUUAUCUUAUGUUGCGAGGUUAAGGAGUUAACAUCCGGAGCCAUAGCGAAAGCGAGUUUGAAUAGAGCGUUAAGUAACCUGAGAUAGACCCGAACCUUGGUGAUCUAACCUUGACCAGGAUGAAGCGUGGGUAACACUACGUGGAGGUCCGAACCGACUGAUGUUGAAAAAUCAGCGGAUGAGUUGAGGUUAGGGGUGAAAUGCCAAUCGAACCAAGAGCUAGCUGGUUCUCCCCGAAAUGCGUUUAGGCACAGCGUCAGAAUUAUCUUACAGGAGGUAGAGCACUGGUUUUGUGCGGGCGACGAAAUGUUGUACCAAACAAUGUCAAACUCCGAAUGCCUGUAAUGUUACUAUCUGGCAGUGAGGCUAUGAGUGAUAAGAUCCAUGGCCAAGAGGGAAACAGCCCAGAACGCCAGUUAAGGUCCCUAAUAUAUGCUAAGUGGUUAAGGAGGUAGAGUUGCUGAGACAACCAGGAGGUUGGCUUAGAAGCAGCCAUCCCUUGAAAGAGUGCGUAAUAGCUCACUGGUCAAGCGACUCCGCGCCGAAAAUACACCGGGACUCAAGCAUAUAACCGAAACUGCGUCAUAUAGUUUACUAUAUGGGUAGGGGAGCGUUCUGUUGUAGGAUGAAGUAAGAUCGAAAGGACUUAUGGACGAAGCAGAAGUGAGAAUGUCGGCAUAAGUAGCGAAAACAUUGGUGAGAAUCCAAUGCACCGUAAACCUAAGGUUUCCCCUGGCAGGCUCGUCCGCGGGGGGUUAGUCGGAACCUAAGCUGAGGCCGAAAGGCGUAGGCGAUGGACAUCAGGUUGAUAUUCCUGAACUAUCUGGUAAUCGUUAUCAGAUGCGGAGGGACGCAGGAGGAUAGGCACGCAGCCGACUGGAAGAGGCUGUUUAAGCGUGUAGCUAGUUUGAGUAGGAAAAUCCGCUCAGGCGUUAUGACGUGAGGCGUAAUGAGGAGGAUCUACGGAUCCGAAGGUGUUGACUCCACACUGCCAAGAAAAACUUCGCACUCGAGAUUAUCCGGUAUCCGUACCGUAAACCGCCACAGGUAGGUUAGUAGAAAAUACUAAGGUGCGCGAGACAACUCUCGCUAAGGAACUCGGCAAAAUCACCUCGUAACUUCGGGAGAAGAGGUACCCUGGUAGAGUGAAGCGAUUUACUCGUGGAGCUUGAUAGGGUCGCAGUGAAUUGGCCCAUGCGACUGUUUACCAAAAACACAGGUCUCUGCUAAGUCGAUCAAGACGAUGUAUAGGGGCUGACGCCUGCCCGGUGUCGGAAGGUUACGUGGAAGGGUUAGACUUCGGUCGAAGCUCUGAAACUAAGCCCCGAUGAACGGCGGCCGUAACUAUAACGGUCCUAAGGUAGCGAAAUUCCUUGUCAGGUAAG
rnacentral:rRNA from 1 species